GAUGAAGAACGCAGCGAAAUGCGAUAAGUAAUGUGAAUUGCAGAAUUCAGUGAAUCAUCGAAUCUUUGAACGCACAUUGCGCCCGCCAGUAUUCUGGCGGGCAUGCCUGUUCGAGCGUCAUUUCAACCAUCAAGCCCCCGGGCUUGUGUUGGGGACCUGCGGCUGCCGCAGGCCCUGAAAACCAGUGGCGGGCUCGCUAGUCACUCCGAGCGUAGUAGUUACAUCUCGCUCAGGGCGUGCUGCGGGUUCCGGCCGUUAAAAGCCUUUUACCCCAAGGUUGACCUCGGAUCAGGUAGGAAGACCCGCUGAACUUAAGCAUAUCAUAAGCGGAGA
rnacentral:misc_RNA from 1 species